AAAAUUUUAAGUUAAGAUAAAACUAAUAAUUUUCAAAAUUAUCAAUAAACCUUUGUUUAAAUUUUA
rnacentral:tRNA from 1 species